rnacentral:rRNA from 1 species
GUACCCGGAGGAAGAGAAAGAAAAUUCGAUUCCCUUAGUAGCGGCGAGCGAAACGGGAAGAGCCCAAACCAACAAGCUUGCUUGUUGGGGUUGUAGGACACUCUAUACGGAGUUACAAAGGACGACAUUAGACGAAUCAUCUGGAAAGAUGAAUCAAAGAAGGUAAUAAUCCUGUAGUCGAAAAUGUUGUCUCUCUUGAGUGGAUCCUGAGUACGACGGAGCACGUGAAAUUCCGUCGGAAUCUGGGAGGACCAUCUCCUAAGGCUAAAUACUCUCUAGUGACCGAUAGUGAACCAGUACCGUGAGGGAAAGGUGAAAAGCACCCCGGAAGGGGAGUGAAAUAGAACCUGAAACCGUGUGCUUACAAGUAGUCAGAGCCCGUUAAUGGGUGAUGGCGUGCCUUUUGUAGAAUGAACCGGCGAGUUACGAUUUGAUGCAAGGUUAAGCAGUAAAUGUGGAGCCGUAGCGAAAGCGAGUCUGAAUAGGGCGUUUAGUAUUUGGUCGUAGACCCGAAACCAGGUGAUCUACCCUUGGUCAGGUUGAAGUUCAGGUAACACUGAAUGGAGGACCGAACCGACUUACGUUGAAAAGUGAGCGGAUGAACUGAGGGUAGCGGAGAAAUUCCAAUCGAACCUGGAGAUAGCUGGUUCUCUCCGAAAUAGCUUUAGGGCUAGCCUCAAGUGAUGAUUAUUGGAGGUAGAGCACUGUUUGGACGAGGGGCCCCUCUCGGGUUACCGAAUUCAGACAAACUCCGAAUGCCAAUUAAUUUAACUUGGGAGU